CCGCCCGCCCGUGCUGUCUUGGAAGUAUAACUAAACAAACCACCGAGCUGUGUGUGUCUUCUCUCCAUGCUGAAACCGUGGAGCACCGCAGUGAACGUGGCUGCUUUGCUGCAGCAGAUCCAGGGAGAGGAGCCUGUUUGCAUUCCACUGCAGGUGCAAAACGAUGGAGGUGAAACUCGAUCAGCAGGACGAAGAUAUCUCAUUCAGCACUGACACUAAUGGUAAACGCCCAGCUGAGGACAUGGACGAAGAGCAGGCCUUCAAACGUUCUCGCAACGCUGACGAGAUGGUGGAGCUGCGUGUGCUGCUUCAGAGCAAAAAUGCCGGCGCUGUUAUCGGAAAGGGUGGCAAGAACAUAAAAGCCUUACGCACAGACUACAAUGCCAGUGUAUCAGUCCCAGACAGCAGUGGCCCAGAGCGGAUCUUGAGUGUGAACGCCAGCAUCGACACCAUUGGAGAGAUUCUGCUGAAAAUCAUACCAACUCUAGAGGAGUACCAGCAUUACAGUGGGAUUGAUUUUGACUCUGAGCUUCGCCUGCUGAUCCAUCAGAGUUUGGCAGGGGGCAUCAUCGGGGUAAAAGGUGCCAAGAUAAAGGAGCUGAGAGAGAACACCCAGACCACCAUCAAGCUGUUCCAGGAGUGCUGUCCACACUCCACUGACAGAGUGGUCUUGGUGGGAGGAAAGCCAGAACGAGUCGUUGAAUGUAUAAAAGUGAUCCUGGAGCUGGUGUCAGAGGCGCCAAUCAAAGGUCGUGCUCAGCCUUAUGACCCUAAUUUCUACGAUGAGACCUACGACUACGGCGGUUUCACCAUGUUAUUCGAGGAGAGAGGAAGACGACCGAUCGGCGGCUUCCCCAUUCGCGUGCGUGGGGGCUUUGAGCGCAUGCCCCCCGUUCGCGGCAACCGACCCAUGCCUCCCUCCAGAAGGGACUACGACGACAUAAGCCCCCGUCGGGGUCCUCCGCCGCCGCUGAGCAGAGGUGGACGAGGGGGCAGCCGAGCACGUAAUCUGCCUCUUCCCCCGCCACCGCCGCCAAGAGGAGGGGGAGACCGGUUCUCACAUGGCAGCUAUCACGGCAGCAUGGACGACAGACAAAGUGACAGAAGAGGCCGAGGAGGAGACCGUUAUGACAGCAUGAGUGGAGGUGGAUAUGACAACAAUUCUUCCUGGGAGCACUUUCAGUCUGGUGGUAGAAGCUCAUACAGUGACAUCGGAGGCCCAGUCAUCACAACACAAGUCACCAUCCCAAAAGAUCUGGCUGGCUCCAUCAUCGGUAAGGGCGGCCAGAGGAUCAAGCAGAUCCGCCACGAGUCAGGGGCAUCCAUCAAGAUUGAUGAACCACUAGAGGGCUCUGAGGACCGCAUCAUCACCAUCACAGGAACACAGGACCAGAUCCAGAACGCCCAGUACCUGCUGCAGAACAGGCAUGUGCUCCGGUGACUCCAUCAGAGAGCUCAUCUCAUUGGAGCAGUGUGGGCUCCACUCAUGGCCUGCGUGCUUGUCCACCACUGUUUGGAAUGUGAGGCAGUACUCUGGUCGGUUCUUCUAGGACGAACGAGGGACGUGAAGAAGACGAGUGAAGCCAUGCUGCCAUACUGUUUCCUCCUUCUAUUCAGAGCCUACAUUCCUCUGCUUUGCCUCCUCCUCUCAGUAUCACACACUACACCAUCUAUCUAUACAUAUUUUCUUUUUUUUUGAGGAAAAAUCUUAAGCUGGUCAAACAGCAAACAAGGUGUCAACAACAUGUUUCUGUGCUGGUGUAGUUAUUUUGAAGGAGAUUUUUGUGCCGUCAUUGGAGUAAACUCAUCUGUGUGUUGG